rnacentral:rRNA from 1 species
CAGUCGCCGCGGUAAUACGUAGGUCCCGAGCGUUGUCCGGAUUUAUUGGGCGUAAAGCGAGCGCAGGCGGUUAGAUAAGUCUGAAGUUAAAGGCUGUGGCUUAACCAUAGUACGCUUUGGAAACUGUUUAACUUGAGUGCAAGAGGGGAGAGUGGAAUUCCAUGUGUAGCGGUGAAAUGCGUAGAUAUAUGGAGGAACACCGGUGGCGAAAGCGGCUCUCUGGCUUGUAACUGACGCUCAUGCACGAAAGCGUGGGGAGCAAACAGGAUUAGAUACCCCCGUAGUCCCUGUCUCUUAUACA